rnacentral:misc_RNA from 1 species
GAUGAAGAACGUAGCGAAAUGCGAUACGUAAUGUGAAUUGCAGAAUUCAGUGAAUCAUCGAGUCUUUGAACGCACAUUGCGCCCCCUGGUAUUCCGGGGGGCAUGCCUGUUCGAGCGUCAUUAUAACCCCUCAAGCUCAGCUUGGUGUUGGGGCCUGCCGACUGGCAGCCCUUAAAAUCAGUGGCGGCGCCAUCUGGCUCUAAGCGUAGUAAUUUCUCUCGCUAUAGAGUCCCGGUGGAUGCUUGCCAGCAACCCCCAACUUUCUAUGGUUGACCUCGGAUCAGGUAGGGAUACCCGCUGAAUUUAAGCAUAUCAAUAAGCGGAGGA